GAUGAAGAACAUAGCAAAAUGCGAUAAGUAAUGUGAAUUGCAGAAUUCAGUGAAUCAUCGAAUCUUUGAACGCACAUUGCGCCCGCCAGUAUUCUGGCGGGCAUGCCUGUUCGAGCGUCAUUUCAACCCUCAAGCCCUCGGGUUUGGUGUUGGGGAUCGGCGAGCCUUUCUGGCAAGCCGGCCCCGAAAUCUAGUGGCGGUCUCGCUGCAGCCUCCAUUGCGUAGUAGUAAAACCCUCGCAACUGGAACGCGGCGCGGCCAAGCCGUUAAACCCCCAACUUCUGAAUGUUGACCUCGGAUCAGGUAGGAAUACCCGCUGAACUUAAGCAUAUCAAUAAGCGGAGGA
rnacentral:misc_RNA from 1 species